GUGAGCUGGGAUAAUUUUAAAGACAUUGGUCAGCCUUUUCAGAAUUCGAAAUAAAGAAAGGAAACCUUCAUUGUUCAUUGUAGUCCACCCUGUGUCCCGCAGCUGCGUGGAUUCUAGCACGAGGACUUCUGACCCCACAACUGCUGAGUUCAAAUGGGAAGAAAGUGGUCACGCGCGAAAGGCCUGGCUUCCAGGUCAGCAGUCCAGCCCCUGAGCCCAGCCUGGGCCCCUGCUUCUCAGCAUCUGUUCCUCCAAGUCACAAGGGAGGCCAGCUGAGGGUUUCGGCUACCAGAGUGACAUUCAGAGGGUGAGUCAGCACCCAGAAUUUCAUUUGCAAGUGAAGCCAGAGCCAAGGGUCCAAAAAAGGCUCAGUGAGUUUCCUGAAAGUCCUGACCCUCUGCAGUUCUUGCUGAGGCCACCAGCCUAUUUCACAUGCAAUCUGAUGAGUAGUGUUAAGUGGAGACCAAAAAGAGAACAGGUCGUAAUACAACACUCCACCAGCGUGUGUCGAGAAUCUCCAGGGGACUUUUACUUGCACUGUUUUUGUUUUUGUUUUUGUUUUCUCCAUCACAGCAUGCUCUAGAAAGUUCUUUGUGCUGACUUCAGGAGGGUGAGUCACCCGAGGGACGCUAGGAUCCUGGAGGCUGUGAGCCUCCCUGUAGGCAUUCAGGGCCUUACGAGGAGGGUCUCUCUCCCAGCUCUGCAGAGUGAGAACUCAAACCCUCUGUUCUGAGGGUGGAGUGUGAGGUCCUCAGGGAGGAGGCAGAGACCAGGUGGGCGUCCCCUGAGGGGCUUUCGCCUCCUGAGAUGGCAACAAAAGAGCUGAGAGGUGACAUGUAAGAGCCAUGACCUGGGAGCCCAAGUAAGGGAGCCGAUCCCCCUCAGAGACCCAUGAUAACUACCAGGGACAUGAGACCAGCACCCCCCCAAGUCAGAAAGUGUGGGAGCAGGUGUCCUGCUACACCAGGGCCAACACCGCCAUGGGGCAGGGACUUUAGCUCAAAGAAGCAAGUGAGGGCAAAGUCUAGUCCGGGUUUCACGUGCCUACGGGAGGCCACAGAGCCCUGUCUACCUCAAGGGCCAUCCUUUUUCAAAUCAUAGAAGGUCUCUGGAGCACUUAGAGGUGACUGACAGGGACACUGUGAAGCUCCGUGGAGCUGUGGGCACAGUGGGCUGAUUCAGCUUUGGCUUUGCUACUAAACCCCCUGCCCACCCCCGCCUUAGGACUCUGUAACCCUCAGGUUCUUCAACCAUUUGGGAAGGGGAUUCACAGGAAGAAGAAACCAGCCUUCCACUAGUCAGGAACAGACAACUUGGGCCAGUAUGAAUUUUUCCAAGAGAUGGGCUCAUGUUCACACCACGCUAAUAACACUCAGAAUAAAACUCUCACCACAAAGCAGAUCUGACUGUGUCGUUUCCUGAUGCCUGACUGAAACUUAGAGAACCGCAGGCAGAUAAUACAUGACCGCUGCAAGACCUUGGGUCUCUUCCCCACUACCCCACCCUGAUAGACUCAGGAGCGAUAAUUUGCUUUAAUGAUUAAUUCACAAUGCCGGGUGGAUAAGCUUUGGGAGAUUAAAGUCACAUCUGCAACAAAAUUUAUCAUUACAAAUAAAGUUUGCAGACAUUCCAGUGUGGCUAGCCAGGCCUCGGACAGGUCCUUUGAACCAAAAUCUCUCCUGUCUACAAAAUCCACCCAGUGGAGGGCUUGACUUAGGAGAUUUCCAGGGCUCUUACAACUGCAGAAUUCUCAUACUCUGGACGAAAAUAAGCAUCCAGUAUGUGACAUACUUUAAAAUAGCCUUUCAGCAACACUGACAGAGCUUGACUCAACAGAGAAGAAUAGCAGCGCUGAGAGAGCUGAGGCCUUUUGGAGCUGAUUCUCUUGGAGACAAUUUCUCAGCAGGAAACCAAAAAAAAUGUACAAGAAACAACAAAAAUGUGGCCUUGCUUAGAGUUGUGCAGAAACCACGGGGAAGUUAACCAAACUGAAAACGUUGGUGAAUGACCACUGAGAAUUCAUGGGCCUUGUCCUACAACGCAGCUAAACAGACUCUGUCUUCAAGUCACCUUGAAGUGACGCAAGACCAGGAAGUCGGCACAGCUGGAGACACUCACACAUUGGCAUGGGGCCCCCAGUCAGGAAGGCCUCUGCCGCUGACGUCAGAGUCCACAUCCCCAGUCUGUCUUCACAUCUAGAUUUUAGCCCUAGAUGUGAAGCAAGUCCCUGAAGUUUGUAAUGUUGGGAGACAAGGGAUUAUGGAGAAUGAAGAGCAGCAGAUUUCUGAGCUGAGGUAGCGGUUUUUGCAAACCCCUGAGCCAAGAGAAAGCUUGAUCACAUUGGGGAUGGUCAGCACCACGAUUCUGCAUCAUUAAAGCACACAAUAGAACAGAGGCAGUGCCAACACUGGCAAGACCGAAGGCAUAAGCAGAAACCACAUCUUGUUUCAAGGCUGAUUUAGCACGCACCAGAAUCACCUGGAGCCCUUGGCAACCCCCAGAGGCCCCGGCCCACUCCCAGAACUUCUGAUUCAGUACAUCUGGAUGGAGCUUGAGAGCUGUAUCUUCAACAAGUUCCCAGGCACUGCAGAUGCUGUUGGGCCCAGAGAACCACACUAUGAAAAUCACGGCUCUGUGAUGUUUCUACCUUCUCCCGAGCACCUCAGAACUGGAGAGUAGAAAGCUGCUGCGGGUGUGGCAGAAAUGUUUUGAGCAUCAUUUGGUGUGUGGGAAGGGCAAGGUCAUGACUGAGUGUGGGGUGGGGUGGGAGUUUGAGGAGCAUGAAGACUUUCAGAAAUAGUUUCUAUAGAAAAGAAGAAAAAAAAAACUAGCUGGCCAGAGGUUCACAGGGAGAUGAGUGGAUAAUUUUUAA